AGGGCACUACCCCUUCUUCAAUAUUGACGCCUACCAUCAUUGCCUUCCCGGACCUCAAAACGAGCUGGGUCAGUAACAAAAGUGACACUAAGGGGCCAUUCUUGUCUGCAUAUUGGUUCUGUUAACCGAAUGGGCUUCUCGGGUCAGACUCUCACUAGUAAAUUUAUGGGUACCAACCUCUCCUCUUCUUGAAAGAUUUUUCACAUUGGGGAAUCUGUAAGAAGGACCGAC
rnacentral:lncRNA from 1 species